rnacentral:misc_RNA from 1 species
UUUGAUUCGAAUCUGACUCUGCUCAUAUAUCUUUAAUCAUUAGAUCAAACCAAGUUACACUGUUAGCAUAUACAAUUGAUAGAAGAAAAUAUAACAUUUUGUACUCAUUUCAUGUAUUGCACAACUGAAGAAGAAUGAUAUAUAAAGAAUGACAAAUAAACUAAUUUUAUUCUGUGCUUAAAGCUACAGGCUAAAGCCAAAUACAACAAGAAAUCUAAACGUCACUUAAUUUCAGUGACAUUUCUGAUUUCUGAAAAGGGGUUUAAUUGAAUCUCCCCAUUAUAAUGAUCAUCACAAAUCUGCAAAAACAUGGUAUGUCUUGGAAUCUACUGCUAUAAGUCUCAGAGCUGCAACUGUUGCUGCAAUAGACAUACAGCUGAAGAAACAAACAUUUAGCCAAUGCCAUUGGAUUUGCAAAUUGGUUAGUUUGUUCUUCUUUGCCCUCAGGUACAUGUGGUUAGCAAGUACAAAUGUGAGGGGGAAGGUGCUGAUGGCCCCAGUGAGACUCUCAAAAUCUCCCAGGAAGGGCAGAAGAGCUGAAACCAAUGUGUUAAUGGUUAGGUAGCCACCUCUCACCCCUAAUCUAAACGACAAGUUGCGGAUCGCUAAUGGAUUACCUUUAAUCCCAAACUUGGUAUCCAAGUACUCAUACAUUGGACUUGCAAAAAUAUGUAAAGCAAUGACAGAUUGCAGGAACGCAGCAAUGUUGGCCAUUGUCUUCACCCAAACAGGACCACUGACGCUGCUAAGCAAAUAGGAGGUUGUUGAAUUUCCAUAAGCCCAAUAACCAAUCCAGGCGACAGCAAACAAUGGCAAACUUCCAAUUGUGAAUUGAAAAUACAGUGCCUUCAUCAUGUUACUAACAACAGGUCGCCUUAUUGUUGCCUGUUGUAAAUUAGUCAGUAACAGACGUACAAAUUGAAGGCAGAAACAGAAACAAAGUAGGCAAAGAUAGGUAUUUUAUGCAUAAACAAUUCGGUCCCGCAUCCGCUUGAAGACCUCAAACCUAACCCAACUUACCAAAACUUGUAGUCUGUCUAGUCUAAAGCCCUUAUUAGAUCUACCUUAAAAAUGAAGAAUUUUAACAUUUUAAAGAGUAAUGAUAAAGAUAACUUGGUCAUCUAUAAGGAUAAGAAAGAAUUUUCGCUAGUUAGGGUAUAUAAAUGUAUCCAUUUUCUUCUCUUCUUUCAUUUAAUUGGUUUUUCAAACAUCCAUCCCAACAGCAUUCUUCACCAUUCACACCUGAUGAAUAUAUCCUCCAUUGAAAUAGUUUCAUUCCUCCACUUUACCAAGUUCAUAUUGCAAACUGAACCAUCAAAUGAUCUACGCAAGAGUUGCUUUCCAGGCCUACUCACCCAGGUGUCCCUAUUUUUGUGUGUGCAGAUGCCUGUGUUGUUUGUGUAUAUGUCUGUGGAGACACCCCUUGAUUAUGCCCCACAUCACCAGUCUACUUCCUUCAGGAAGUAGCAUGAUAAACAUUAGCCCCUAAAAGUAUUCAUAAUUGUGCCAGCUAAAAAAUGUUGCUGCUGAAAGCCAUACCUAAAAGGGGAGAACUAUCACUAAAUCUGAAAUCAUGAAAUGAACAGAAGCCAUCUAGCUAUUCAAUAAUAAAUGCAUAUACUCCAGUAUUUCGCUAUUUUGAUGAAUUGAGAAUAUGCCCAAGUUCAGUGAGAACUCAAUGGAUUCCAAUUCCUCUCAUACCUGUAUCUCUGGAAGCAUUCCAGUGUUAAAUGCAAAAACCAGACUAGCACCUGCCCCAAUUGAUGUAAAUAUUUUGGAUGCUGAUGUUCCUGUAAUGCUAUAGUCCCUUGGUGGUGCUCUGCAGCCUACAAUACAGUAGUUAUAAUUCAAAUUCAGCACAAUACUAAUAAUUCAAACACAAAAUCUACAGACUAGUUUGAAGUAUUGGAAGGAUCAGAUCAAACUUCAUGUCACAUUUGCCAUUGCAUACACAGCCAGAUAAUAUAUGUAACACCUUUCUGAAAAUGAACUGAUCCUUUUAGAACAUGACAUAAUUUCCCAAGCUAUUAGGUAAGAAUCAAUUGGUUGUUCACAGCAGAUAAAGAACAAAGCAACUUCCUAUGCAUUCUUCACAGAUAAAAUGCCAGAAUUCAUAUAUGUUGCAUGUUAUAACUGCAUAUAAUUGAAGAACAGGAUAACUUUAGUUAUAAAAUUUUUGAGCAUGGAUGAGGAGAGAUGACAGCAGCCAAAUAACUGAUUAUUGAAAUGCUGCAAAUUUCCUAGAAUGGCGAGUACCAUGUUGACAACGAUGAUUACAAAUAAGAGACACAGGCAUGCAGGGUUCGUUGCAUAAAGUAUUGGCCCGUUCAGGAAAUGUUGUUUUCUAUUUUAAUCCAAAGUGUUGUGAAGACUUCUGUAAAAAUCCUCCAGUUCUUCAUCACAUGCAAGUAUGGAUCACCAAAAUGAAAUAAGCACAUGUACUUAGAUGCAUAGUCCUCCAGAAUCAAUUUCAAAAAUUGAACUAAUCCAGCACGAAAAAUUACAGCUUGUUGAUUUACCAUCUCUAAUGGAGAGAACAAUUGCUAUAAUGAUGUACAUCAGACUGAGGAAUGUUGAAACUGCCAACCAAAUUCUUAGAGCUGACAAAUGGGGAAUU